GACCUGAUAGCAUAAUGGUUAUGCAUCUGCUCUAAAUGUCUUGUCCUUUAAUGGCUCAGCAGGAGGUUCCCCGUUCGACUCGGGGUCAGGUUA